UCAAUAAAAUAUAUUUUAAAAAUAAAAGACUGGAAUCCAUAGUAUAUAUAUUGUUUUACAGCAGUAUUUACUUAAUGUAUCAUGAACAUCUCCCCAUGCCAUUUAAUAUUCUUCAAUAUAUAUAAUUCCACUGCGUGAGUGUGCCUUUGGAUAUUAUAUCUCACAGUUCAACCAAUCUCCUACUCUUGAGCAUUGAGUUUGUUUCAUUUUCUUAAAAAGACUCAGGUAUUUAAACGGGCUACUUGUUUCCUUGAAUGACAGGGUGCUCUGGGAAUGUCUGUUGAACCACAGCACUCCUACCUUGCUUUGCUGAAGGUGAUAAAGCACUAGGAAUUCUUUUUUCUGGGCCCUGGUAUUGCAGAGCUAAGAAAGAUGAGGAAAGUAAGGCUCAAAGAGAGAAUUGGUCCAAGCCUGCACAGCUAGGCACAGCUUGGGUCUGAAAUUUGAACUGUGUCCACCAUGCUUCCCACUGUUCCUUAAAACUGAUGGAUAUAACACCAUUCUCCCCUGCUCCCCCCAUGGGAAAUUUGCUGUCAAUC